rnacentral:miRNA from 1 species
UGUUGAGGCUGGAGCGAAACUCGG